UACGGAGGGUGCAAGCGUUGUCCGGAUUUAUUGGGUUUAAAGGGUGCGUAGGCGGCCCUGUAAGUCAGUGGUGAAAUACUGCAGCUUAACCGUAGCAUUGCCAUUGAUACUGUAGGGCUUGAGUACAGAUGAGGUAGGCGGAAUUGAUGGUGUAGCGGUGAAAUGCAUAGAUACCAUCAAGAACACCGAUUGCGAAGGCAGCUUACUAAGCUGUAACUGACGCCGAGGCACGAAAGCGUGGGGAUCGAACAGG
rnacentral:rRNA from 1 species